rnacentral:rRNA from 1 species
GAUGAACGCUGGCGGCGUGCUUAACACAUGCAAGUCGAACGGUGAACCCGGAGCUUGCUCUGUGGGAUCAGUGGCGAACGGGUGAGUAACACGUGAGCAACCUGCCCCUGACUCUGGGAUAAGCGCUGGAAACGGCGUCUAAUACUGGAUAUGUGACGUGACCGCAUGGUCUGCGUUUGGAAAGAUUUUUCGGUUGGGGAUGGGCUCGCGGCCUAUCAGCUUGUUGGUGAGGUAAUGGCUCACCAAGGCGUCGACGGGUAGCCGGCCUUAGAGGGUGACCGGCCACACUGGGACUGAGACACGGCCCAGACUCCUACGGGAGGCAGCAGUGGGGAAUAUUGCACAAUGGGCGCAAGCCUGAUGCAGCAACGCCGCGUGAGGGAUGACGGCCUUCGGGUUGUAAACCUCUUUUAGCAGGGAAGAAGCGAAAGUGACGGUACCUGCAGAAAAAGCGCCGGCUAACUACGUG